rnacentral:lncRNA from 1 species
CAGAAUUCCAAGACUCAGGAAUCUCAAUCCAUUCCAAGUAAAUGUGUUAAAUCCUCUCAGACAUCCUAUAGUGAAACUUCAAAAUUCCAAAGACAAAAAUGAUAUUUUUAAAGCAGCCAGACAAAAAGAAGAGAUAAUCUUCAAAAGAAUGGCAAUAAGAUUGAGAGCAAAGUUUUUAGUUCCAACGAUGGCAGCCAGAAGACAUGGAAUAGUGCCUUCACAGUGUGGAGACGCACUUCCAGUCGUCCAGAACUGUGUACUGCACAAAACUGUGUAUGCAGCAGGAGCAAAAACGAAACAAAGGUACAUUCAGAUACGUGUGGUUGGUGGCAAACCAGCAGACCUUUCCCAGGGGAGAUCGCAGGAGAGUGCAAGAUGCAAGAAGGAGUGGUGGGCAAAGGAGCUGAUAGACACGCAUGUAAAACUCACACGGCAUUGGAGAGUUAUCAAGACAGAGAAGAAUUACAGCCAAGAUCCAGGAGAAGGAGGAAGCCCAAGGAGACCAGCUCAGCAUUUGGACAGCUUUUCCCCUACAGGUGCUGGAAGAGGAGACUGAGAGCUGAGAUUUUGACAAAUUCACGGAACUGGAGGGACAACAAUUAAAGUUCAGGGACCGUUAAUAAGAGGGAUUUAGCAAAUGCCCAGCACCAGAAGUGUUACCCAUUUAUUUCUACAAUUCUCUUUUCUUCUUUCUUGCCUUUUUGGAGGAAUUGAUUGGGUUUUGUUUUUUAACUGACUCUAAAGGGAUGCACCCUAGAAUAUGCUGGGAUUGAAGCCCAGUCUAACACAUCUCCACCCCUAACUGGAUUAAGGAGAUCUGGCAUUGCUAGCAGCCUGUGUCAGAAUCAAACAUUAAACCUAGUCCUCAAUUUAUCCCCACACUUUUCCCGGUAGUUAAUCAAGACCAG